CAGGAUGGACCCGCGUCUGAUUAGCUAGUUGGUAAGGUAACGGCUUACCAAGGCGACGAUCAGUAGCCGACCUGAGAGGGUGAUCGGCCACAUUGGAACUGAGACACGGUCCAAACUCCUACGGGAGGCAGCAGUGGGGAAUAUUGCACAAUGGGCGAAAGCCUGAUGCAGCAACGCCGCGUGAGUGAUGAAGGCCUUCGGGUCGUAAAACUCUGUCCUCAAGGAAGAUAAUGACGGUACUUGAGGAGGAAGCCCCGGCUAACUACGUGCCAGCAGCCGCGGUAAUACGUAGGGGGCUAGCGUUAUCCGGAUUUACUGGGCGUAAAGGGUGCGUAGGCGGUCUUUCAAGUCAGGAGUGAAAGGCUACGGCUCAACCGUAGUAAGCUCUUGAAACUGGGAGACUUGAGUGCAGGAGAGGAGAGUGGAAUUCCUAGUGUAGCGGUGAAAUGCGUAGAUAUUAGGAGGAACACCAGUUGCGAAGGCGGCUCUCUGGACUGUAACUGACGCUGAGGCACGAAAGCGUGGGGAGCAAACAGGAUUAGAUACCCUGGUAGUCCACGCUGUAAACGAUGAGUACUAGGUGUCGG
rnacentral:rRNA from 1 species